rnacentral:tRNA from 1 species
GCAGGGGUAGCAAAGUCUGGUCAAAUGCGCAGGGCUUAGGACCCUGUCUCCUAGCGAGUUCGUGAGUUCAAAUCUCACCCCCUGCA